UGCCUGGCGGCCAUAGCGAGUGGGUACCACCUGAAUCCAUCCCGAACUCAGAAGUGAAAACGCUCAGCGCCGAUGAUAGUGCGGGGUCUCCCCGUGUGAAAGUAGGACACUGCCAGGC
rnacentral:rRNA from 1 species